AAAAUCACCUCUAAACGUCACCGGAUGUGGAAAAUCUCGGUUUUAUCCACGAACACAUCAGGAUGCUAAAAGCUAACGCUAAGCUAACGGGACGGAUGACGAAUAGACUGAACUGUGCAGACAGGACGUAAUCUCUCAGAUUAAUGCCAGUGUGGCAGGAGGAGCAGCCAGCGCCGGCUCCCUGAGCCGCACAGAUGAUGUCGCUGCCUGUUCUUCCACACUGGCUUCACUCCAAAGAAUGAGAAGAAGGAGAAAAGCCUGAACCACAGACAUGGAUGAUAAUAAGGAAGUGACACAUGUCACAUCUGGGAUCCUGCCAGUGCAGACGGACGGGGAGCAGGUUGGUCAGUCACCUCACGGCGCCAGAGGACACGACGCAAAGCCCGCUGACUGAUAAAUCACAGGACAAAUCAAAACGGGGCGACAGGGCUCGGCUGGUGUCACAUCAUGAUAAGAGACAGGAGCUCUGUGAAAGAUCCCACACCAGGAAACAUCUUCAGCAGGAAAAAAACCUCUGAGGAGAGGAGACGUUUUAUGUGAGUAUAAUGACAGAAUUUCCCACAACCAUGGCUGAAAAGUAAAACGAGCAAUGGCGAGGACAUUGCCACUUAUCAGCCGGUGCAAUUUCACAGCGAGAGGUGAUUUUCUCUGCAAACAUAUUCAGAAUAAACUCUUCAAUCAGACCAGCUCCAUCUUCAGAUUCUUUUUCUCCUCUCCUUCUGUUCACUGAAACCUUUUUAACCCAUCAAACCUCCACUGCACUGUGUUCACUUCCUGAGCCAAUCCGCUGAGUCUAUCCUAGCGGACACUGAGCACAAGGCAGGGUGCACCCUGGACCAGUCAGUGACCCUGAAAUUGUUCACCUUUGGCCAUCAUGAAGGAUCUCCAAUUCAUUACAUAUACCUCGAGGAAACAACGAGAGGAGACUUUUUGUUCUUCUUUAGAUUCUGUGACAUAUAAUGCUGCAUUUCCAUAUGAGCCAGUAUUCAGACAGGUUAUUCUCACAGCUCUUACUUAAUUGGUGAAUAUAACUCUGUAUAAUAAUAACAUGUUGUGGCAUCACACAAAGUUGCAGUUUGUCGAUACACACACAUUCUUAUGCAGCUGUGAGGUGUAUGAUUGUGCAGAUAACAAUAAUGCAAGUAAAUGUAAGCAGCAGCUAAGUUGAGAUGGUCAUUUGUUUUUGUCUGUUAUUUCAGUGGUUAAAUUUAAGUUGUACUUUAGUUUACUCACCUACUGUCAACUCUUUUCAAUAAACCAUUGAAAUUAUUGCUAAA